rnacentral:rRNA from 1 species
UACGUAGGGGGCGAGCGUUGUCCGGAUUUAUUGGGCGUAAAGAGCGUGUAGGCGGUUCGGUAAGUCUGUCGUGAAAUCCUGAGGCUCAACCUCGGGCGUGCGAUGGAUACUGCCGGGCUAGAGGAUGGUAAAGGCGAGUGGAAUUCCCGGUGUAGCAGUGAAAUGCGUAGAGAUCGGGAGGAACAUCAGUUGCGAAGGCGGCUCUCUGGACCAGCACUGACACUGAGGCACGAAAGCGUGGGGAGCAAACAGG